UACGUAGGGCGCAAGCGUUAUCCGGAAUUAUUGGGCGUAAAGCGAACGUAGGCGGCUUGUUAAGUCUGUUCUUAAAGACCGGGGCUCAACCUCGGGACUGGAACGGAUACUGGCAGGCUGGAGGACGUCAGAGGAAGUGGAAUUCCUAGUGUAGCGGUGAAAUGCGUAGAUAUUAGGAGGAACACCAGUGGCGAAAGCGACUUCCUGGGGCGUUCCUGACGCUGAGGUUCGAAAGCUCGGGGAG
rnacentral:rRNA from 1 species